rnacentral:lncRNA from 1 species
CCUAUUCUUAAUACGGGUCCAUAUAGGCCAUAGCUAUUUCUUUGGGAUUUAGCAUAUCUCCAUUAUUAUCACUGCUUCCUAUGGAAGAAGCUUCUUCUAGAAGCUUUAAGACUUCUUCUUCAUUAGUUUCCUGGCUUUCCAUAUCGUGCAAAGCCUUCUUCAAUUUUUCCUUUAGUGCCUUCUUAUUUUGUGAAGCAUUGUUUGGAGGUGAAACUGGUGAAGUUGUCUUUCCUUU